rnacentral:sRNA from 1 species
UCCAAAAAUCUUGGGACAUCUGCUGCAAC